rnacentral:rRNA from 1 species
AUUGAACGCUGGCGGCAUGCCUUACUCAUGCAAGUCGAACGGCAGCAUGGAGAGCUUGCUCUCUGAUGGCGAGUGGCGAACGGGUGAGUAAUGCAUCGGAACGUACCGUGUAAUGGGGGAUAACGUAGCGAAAGUUACGCUAAUACCGCAUACGACCUGAGGGUGAAAGCAGGGGAUCGCAAGACCUUGCGUUAUACGAGCGGCCGAUGUCAGAUUAGCUAGUUGGUGAGGUAAAGGCUCACCAAGGCGACGAUCUGUAGCGGGUCUGAGAGGAUGAUCCGCCACACUGGGUCUGAGACACGGCCCAGACUCCUACGGGAGGCAGCAGUGGGGAAUUUUGGACAAUGGGGGCAACCCUGAUCCAGCCAUGCCGCGUGAGUGAAGAAGGCCUUCGGGUUGUAAAGCUCUUUCGGCCGGGAAGAAAUCGCACAGGCUAAUACUCUGUGUGGAUGACGGUACCGGCAUAAGAAGCACCGGCUAACUACGUGCCAGCCGCCGCGGUAA